UACGUAGGGUGCAAGCGUUGUCCGGAAUUAUUGGGCGUAAAGAGCUCGUAGGCGGUUUGUUGCGUCGGCUGUGAAAUCCCGAGGCUCAACCUCGGGUCUGCAGUCGAUACGAGCAAACUAGAGUGUUGCAGGGGGAGACUGGAAUUCCUGGUGGUAGCGGUGAAAUGCGCAGAUAGUCAGGAGGAACACCGGUGGCGAAGGCGGGUCUCUGGGCAAC
rnacentral:rRNA from 1 species